CCAUCCUAAGGAACAGAAAAGGAGGGCCCAUCCUAAGGAGCAGAAGAGAUGGACUAAUCCGCAUGAGCAGUAGAGAAUGAUCCAUUCCAAGGACUGCAAGAGAGGACCCAUGUCAAAGAGCAUAGGAGAAGGACCCAACCCGAGGAGCAGGUGUAAAGGACCCAUCCUGAGGAUCUGAAGAGAAAGACCUAUCCCGAGAAGCAGAAGAGGACCAACAUCAUAAGCUGCAGUUUAAGACAAACCUCUGUCCAGAAUCCUUAAGAGAAGAAUCUCACCUUAAAGCAAGAGUGUUGAUAGUUUUGGGAUAGACUGCUGUAAACCCUAGGAAUGAUGGUCAGGGUUAGAUCUAGUGUAGUGCUAGUGUAGAUCUCGAGAAAGUUGGUGACUUUCAUCUGACAGAAAGUGUGCAAAAUGAUUGAGGGAUCAAGUGCAGCCAAUCCAAGAAUUGAUGGGUUGGACUGGUUUUCAUUCUCACAAGAAGAGCAGACACUUACCUACCAGCAAAAGUUCAGGGAUUGACUGUGGCCAAUCCAAGACAUGAUGAACACAUCCUAUGAAUCAUCUGAGCUAUCUUGAUAGAUGUGGAAGGAAGAAAGUUGGGCAACACAUCAAAAUAAAUUCAUGUUAUGAAUCAUUAGAAAUGAAAGGAGAGACGUUUAUUGUUGAAGGAGAUAUAGAACUCUAUUUUGAAUUAGUGUGAAGGAUUUGUGACCUUGUAUUAUGGAUCUGUGACCUUAUGUGAAGGAUCUGUUACCUACAUAUAGUGUGAAAAAAUUGGUGACCUUGUAUGAAGGAUCUGUGACCUUGUGAAGGACCUUGACCUUUUGUGAAGUAUAUCUGUUACCUUAUGAAUAGGUUCUGUUGCCUUGUGUUAAGAAUAUGUAGCCUUGUUUGAAGGAUCUGUGACCUUGUGUGAAAGAUCUGUGACCUUAUGUGAAGGGUCUGUGUUUUUACAUGAAGGAUCUGUGACCUUAAGUGAAGGAUCUUUGAUCUUGUGUGAAGGAUCUGUGACAUGUGAAGGAUCUGUGACCUUGUGUGAAGGAUCUGUGACCUUGUGUGAAAGAUCUGUGGCCUUAUGUGAAGGAUAUGUGACCAUGUUUGAAGGAUCUGUGGUGUUAUGUGAAGGAUCUGUGUUCUUGUGUGAAGAUCUUGUUUGAAGGAACUGUGACCUUGUGAGAAGGAUAUUGCAUUUUCCGGUCUUAGUUCCUUCCUUUCUUUUGUUGAUGUUUUGAACCAAAAAACUUAUGUGCUAUUAUCACCCCAGCAGUUAAUUUCCUUGUAACACCAGUUGAAGUAUUGACCAGUUUUUGGUUCCAUCAGAUGAAUGUGAUGUCUUGCAUUCACCCUUAGACUUGCAUAAAUUUUUUGCCUUGGACACAUGUGUGACUUUUUAUCCAUGUUUUCCCUGGGAAGUUUUUAAUAUCAGUGAUUAUACUCUAGCCUUUGAAGUUUAAUGCUAUUUGGAAAGUUUAUGAUGAGUGCAGUAUAACAAUUUUUUGUGUUAUGUAGUAUUAGCAAAAAUUAAUUGCCCUAACAACAU